rnacentral:tRNA from 1 species
CAAAAGAUAGUUUAAGUCGAGAAUUCUAGUUUUGGGGACUAGAGGUGGGAGUGUCCUUCUUUUGA